UACGGAGGGUGCUAGCGUUGUUCGGAAUCACUGGGCGUAAAGCGCGUGUAGGCGGUCCGUUAAGUCUGAUGUGAAAGCCCGGGGCUCACCCCCGGAAGUGCAUUGGAAACUGACGAACUCGAGUCCCGGAGAGGAGGGUGGAAUUCCUGGUGUAGCGGUGAAAUGCGCAGAUAUCAGGAAGAACACCCGUGGCGAAGGCGGUUCUCUGGGACGGUACUGACGCUGAGACGCGAAAGCGUGGGGAGCGAACAGG
rnacentral:rRNA from 1 species